UUGCAAUGAUGUCUGAAUUUCUUCACCUGAAACCUAAUAUGUAGUUCACAAAUGAGCUUUUUAACCCUGAGCAAU